rnacentral:rRNA from 1 species
GACCACAGCCAUGUCACCCUGCAGCCCAAGACCAGUUACUCACUGAAGCUAAGCAGGGCUGAGCCUGGUCAGUACCUGGAUGGGAGACCACUAGGGAACACUAGGUUGCUGUUGGAA